UGCAACUCGACUACAUGAAGCUGGAAUCGCUAGUAAUCGCGAAUCAGAAUGUCGCGGUGAAUACGUUCCCGGGUCUUGUACACACCGCCCGUCACACCAUGGGAGUCAGUAACGCCCGAAGUCAGUGACCCAACCAUAAAGGAGGGAGCUGCCGAAGGUGGGACCGAUAACUGGGGUGAAGUCGUAACAAGGUAAC
rnacentral:rRNA from 1 species